rnacentral:rRNA from 1 species
UCUACGGGAGGCAGCAGUGAGGAAUAUUGGUCAAUGGGCGCGAGCCUGAACCAUCCAAGUAGCGUUAAGGAUGACUGCCCUAUGGGUUGUAAACUUCUUUUAUAAAGGAAUAAAGUGAGGCACGUGUGCCGUUUUGUAUGUACUUUAUGAAUAAGGAUCGGCUAACUCCGUGCCAGCAGCCGCGGUAAUACGGAGGAUCCGAGCGUUAUCCGGAUUUAGUGGGUUUAAAGGGAGCGUAGAUGGGUGGUUAAGUCAGUUGUGAAAGUUUGCGGCUCAACCGUAAAAUUGCAAUUGAUACUGGCAGUCUUGAGGACAGUUGAGGUAGGCGGAAUUCGUGGUGUAGCGGGGAAAUGCUUAGAUAUCACGAAGAACUCCGAUUGCGAAGGCAGCUUACUAAACUGCCACUGACAUUGAUGCUCGAAAGUGUGGGUAUCAAACAGGAUUAGAUACCCCUGUAGUC